AAAAAAGAUGAGAAAGAUACAAUGAUCAUUACAUUAUAUUCAUGAAAUAUCGCAUUUUGAUCAGCCAUCCAAAACCACUGAGUGUUGCACAAGCACACAGGUCACAUCAAGAAGAGAGAUAGAGAGAAAUGACCGCACAAGACCUAU